AGUUUAAUAAAACAUUAAAUUGCAAAUUUAAAAUUAACUU
rnacentral:tRNA from 1 species